CCCAGCCAGCCCCUUCACAGCUGGACCUCUUGGAGCAUAAGCAAGGGAAACCCCUGUGUGCCAGGGGUUUUGCCGAGACCCUCCCUUUGCCUGUGAAAACCACCCCAUGCCGAUGAGAGGAGCCUGACCCAAGAGACCUCCGGACUAGGGGAGGCGGCACUGUGCUCGCUAACCAAUCUCACAUUUGACAGGAGUGACUGGAGCAGCACAAAUCUCCAGUCAAACAGACGCUUCUCCUGGGCUCUAACAACCAACAAAGUUGUCCAUUACAUUGAAGUACAAGAAGCCAUAAUAUUAUUUAAGAGUCCAGCGCCUUUGUUUGAAAAACAUGGAAGAAGUACUGGGCUUGGGCCCAGAAAGGGACAAGGGCAGCAUGGGGAAGACAGAUGGGACCAGGCUGCCACACCUGUCUGGCUAAAGGCAGCUGGCAGAUGUUCAGUACCCAAAGCAGUUUCUAGCACUACAAAGCAUUCAGAUGUGUUGCUUUAAGGCUGCUGAUCACUGGUAAGGAAAAUCAAAUGGUUAGUGUAUGCUUGUUGUGUCCCUUUGUUGUUUUCUCGGAUAUAAGCAUGCCUGACCUUCUUAUGAAUUAGUCAAAUACAUUUCUCUAGUAGAGGACUUAAAAUUCACAGUGCUCCUUGUAAAACCAUUAAUAAUUGCUACAUUAAAUGUCAUCAUGCAAGCCAGUGACAUUUUUCCUCAGACAAACAGACCAGGUACUUCAGAUUUUAGACUGUUUAACAAAACUGCAAGAGUACAGAAAAGUAUGAAAUGAUGAACAAAUAUGUCCUUCCUGUAUUGCCACCCACACCACUUCCCUGAG
rnacentral:lncRNA from 1 species